AUUGAACGCUGGCGGCAGGCCUAACACAUGCAAGUCGAGCGGAGCGGCGGACGGGGAAGUAAUGCCUAGGAAUCUGCCUGGUAGUGGGGGAUACAGUCCGGAAACGGGCGCUAUUACCGCAUACUCGCAGAUGAGCCUAGGUCGGAUUUGCUAGUUGGUGGGGUAAAGGCCUACCAAGGCGACGAUCCGUAACUGGUCUGAGAGGAUGAUCAGUCACACUGGAACUGAGACACGGUCCAGACUCCUACGGGAGGCAGCAGUAGGGAAUAUUGGACAAUGGGCGAAAGCCUGAUCCAGCAAUGCCGCGUGUGUGAAGAAGGUCUUCGGAUUGUAAAGCACUUUAAGUUGGGAGGCGUUACCAACAGAAUAAGCAACGGCUAACUUCGUGCCAGCAGCCGCGGUAAUUC
rnacentral:rRNA from 1 species